CUAUCAGCUUGUUGGUGGGGUGAUGGCCUACCAAGGCGGUGACGGGUAGCCGGCCUGAGAGGGCGACCGGCCACACUGGGACUGAGACACGGCCCAGACUCCUACGGGAGGCAGCAGUGGGGAAUAUUGCGCAAUGGGCGGAAGCCUGACGCAGCGACGCCGCGUGGGGGAUGACGGCCUUCGGGUUGUAAACCUCUUUCGCCAGGGACGAAGAGUGAUUGACGGUACCUGGAGAAGAAGCACCGGCCAACUACGUGCCAGCAGCCGCGGUAACACGUAGGGUGCGAGCGUUGUCCGGAAUUAUUGGGCGUAAAGAGCUCGUAGGCGGUGUGUCGCGUCGGCCGUGAAAACUUGGGGCUUAACUCUGAGCGUGCGGUCGAUACGGGCAUCACUUGAGUUCGGCAGGGGAGACUGGAAUUCCUGGUGUAGCGGUGAAAUGCGCAGAUAUCAGGAGGAACACCGGUGGCGAAGGCGGGUCUCUGGGCCGAUACUGACGCUGAGGAGCGAAAGCGUGGGGAGCGAACAGGAUUAGAUACCCUGGUAGUCCACGCCGUAAACGUUGGGCGCUAGGUGUGGGGACCAUUCCACG
rnacentral:rRNA from 1 species